GACGAACGCUGGCGGCGUGCUUAACACAUGCAAGUCGAACGGAAAGGCCCUGCUUUUGUGGGGUGCUCGAGUGGCGAACGGGUGAGUAACACGUGAGUAACCUGCCCUUGACUUUGGGAUAACUUCAGGAAACUGGGGCUAAUACCGGAUAGGAGCUCCUGCUGCAUGGUGGGGGUUGGAAAGUUUCGGCGGUUGGGGAUGGACUCGCGGCUUAUCAGCUUGUUGGUGGGGUAGUGGCUUACCUAGGCUUUGACGGGUAGCCGGCCUGAGAGGGUGACCGGCCACAUUGGGACUGAGAGACGGCCCAGACUCCUACGGGAGGCAGCAGUGGGGAAUAUAGCACAAUGGGCGGAAGCCUGAUGCAGCAACGCCGCGUGCGGGAUGACGGCCUUCGGGUUGUAAACCGCUUUCGCCUGUGACGAAGCGUGAGUGACGGUAAUGGGUAAAGAAGCACCGGCUAACUACGU
rnacentral:rRNA from 1 species